ACAGCUAUUGGUCAAAAUUUAAGGAGAUGUUGCCGCAAUGCAGUUUUCAAGUGAAAGUAAAACUUAAAAACUUGAUACAUGUUUUAGUAUGUUUUGACAUUUCGCAUUUUGAAGUUUACGUAAGUUAGUUAUUAGCACACACUUUCGUUAAUGUUUUCUUAUAAAAAGGUGCUGCGACUCUUCCUCGCCAGUACCACGGUUGCAAUGGCUGCGUUGGGUAUUAUGUCAAACGUGCUCGAAAGGAAAAACCUUAUCUAAUUAAAAUGAUACAACAUUGAAAACUUACCUCAUAAAAAAAGCCAAGAAGUUAAAUUCUGAAUCAACAAGCUUGGAGAAAAAUUAAAAGAACAGCGUGAAUCACUAUAUUUUUAUGGUCAGAAAGAUUGUUCUAGAAAAGUCUGUUUUCUUAAAGCAUGUUAAUAGUAAGGAAUCAUCAUCAAGCAUUAAGAAAAAAUACGUUACCGCUCGCAAAAAAAAAACGUUCCAAAAUCAUUUUAAAAACACAUAAACAAGAAGCCCCAAUCGAAGUACCUACCUUAAACUGUCAAAUAUGAGUUAAAAACAUUAGUAUGUUAAACAAAGUUACUUUACGUACAAAUGCGCCUUUUGAGGCAAUAGGUAAAGUUUGCUUUUUCGAAACUGAAAGAAAUGUUUGUUGUUUACUGCGACAAAGUUUUUUUAAGAUUUUUUUUUGUUACGCAAAAUUACUUACUUUAAUUUGUAAACGAAAAUGUUUUACGUGGUUAUUACUAUUAUAAAAUUUAUUUAUGUGAAUAAGAAAUUUGCUUUUAUCAGGUAAAGCAUCGAGAAAAAAUAAAGUUUGUAAAGCAUAUUUUAUAAGUUUACUAGUUAAAACUGCUUACUAAGUCAUAUAUUUGGUUGUCUUAGUGAUAAGUAUAGUUUAUUUUCAACAAAGCAAUUAUGAAACAGUUUUGUAAUGCGCAUUUAAUUUCUUAUAUCUGCAGUUUAAUUGUUAAUUGUUGUACAAUUAUUGCAAAAUAGUUUUUUUAAUCUACUCAA